CUUUUGACGGUGGAUCUCUUGGCUCACGUAUCGAUGAAGAACGCAGCCAGCUGCGAUAAGUAGUGUGAAUUGCAGAAUUCAGUGAAUCAUUGAAUCUUUGAACGCAAAUGGCGCUCUUGGGUUCUCCCAGGAGCAUGUCUGUCUGAGUGUC
rnacentral:rRNA from 1 species